GAGAGGGUGCUUCAAACUUUUUAAUCAGGACUGCAUUGUUCGUUCGCUCCUGGGGUUACAUAGACUGAAAUGGGGAAGCGUGACGAGUUUGUUUACAUGGUGCUGUAAACUCCAACUCAGGAGGACACUUCAGAGGAAUCAAGGUGUCUGUGAUGUUGAAACACUAAAGGAAGAAGAGGAGGACCACCAUUCGUUUCCUGGUCAGAACACAAGAGAAGAAUCUAACAGUGGUUUGGGGGCAUUGCAAGACCAUGAUUACCUGGAAACAUCUCAUAUUAUGGAAGAGCACAACAUCAUGCUCGCAACAUUUGUGUCUUGGAUCAGUUUUUCUUGUUUCUCUGCUGUAUGAGGCAGGGGCUUCUUUCCGCAGAUUUAGCUGUAAGGUUUCAAGGUCCCGUUUUUCCUGAUCCCAUUUUUUAAACUUUAGUUAGUGUGUAAUGUUGCUGUUAGAGCAUAAAUAAUACCUGUAAAUUAUAAAGCUCAAAAUUCAAUGCCAAGCGAUAUAUUUUCUUUAAUAGAAUUUCCCUUUUAAAGCAUACAGCAAACGGACGGUUUGGACUACAGCCCUCUACUUCCCGAUUGAAUGACAUCCAAAGAAGAGGUUUUUUUACUAAC